UUUUUGGUCAAUUGGGUCUUUGUGAGGAUUUUUUUUUUUCCUUUUUUUUUUUUUUUUCCUUUUUUUCAACCUGUGAUUGUGACUAUAACAAACAAGCUCUAAAAACAUCUAAGACUUAGUGCGUUACAGGAAAAAAAAAAAAUAUAAAAUACUGCUAAAAAUGUAAGACACCACAAUACACGGGGGGAAAACUGAGCUUAUUAUUCAAAAUAAAAACCAAGAAAAAAAAAAGGUUCUCAGGAAAAAGUACACCACUUUCUGUUUGAGUUCAUCUUGUGCUGUGUUAGUAGUCAGGGCAUUUCCAAGGUCUGCCCAUUCUCAUGGCAAGUAGUUAUUGCACAAAUGCAAAGAGUUAAUUUUUUUCAUUAAACAAAACAAAAUAAUAAAUGAAAAGGGACAUGAGGGAAACAAUUAAAAAGAAAAAGAACAGAACAUCCCCCUCCCCCCCCCCAGCCAGCCUCCAUCUGCUUUGGAAUUAUCAUCCAGAUUCGUACAGCGACAUUCUCGCAGCAUUCCCAGCGAGUGCUGCUUUCCCAAAAGGAAUGGCAGAAAACGCUUUUCAACACAGAAAUGCAUAGAGGAUUCUGACAGGAACAACCUCUUUUGUUUUGCAGAAGUUAUCCGAUAAUUACCAGAGGGCUUUCGUUUUGUCUCUCUCUCCUUUUUUAUUCUUUCAGACUAUGCCAGAAGGAAAGAACCUCGUGUGGGAAAUUCAUCUGAUGGUUUUUAGUGGGACACCCUCGAAAGGCAAAGUGCAAAUUUGCUUCCAGAUCCACAGAAGUGGUGAUGUGCCCUGCAACUAGCUCAGCACCGUCUGUCUUUGCCCACCAUAAGGCUGUACUGCGGGGCCGAGUGGUUCGGUGCUACCAGAGGCCCUUUGCGUCGUCCCUCGUGCAGACACACGCUCCCCCUGCCACAAGCAGGGGCAAUUUUGAGCCCAACAGGUUUUAGUUUGGCUUAAUGCAGCUCUUUCUCUUGCUCGUUUGCCAAGCGUGACCUAGCCAGGGAGAGCCUGUCUGAACGUGUUCCGACACUGCAAGAAAACGAACCACCUCCUCCGUGACCGAGAUCAAUUCACAACGUGUUAUUUCCAGAGUUCACACCAGGAAAAGUUGCUGCUGCACAAGGUGAUUUUUUCUCUUUUUUUCCUUGACCAACUUUGAAUGAGAAGAAAAUCAGCUCUGAAUUCAGAAAUUCAAACAUAUGCCAACAAAGAUGAACAUCACAGGAAACCAGUCUCUCAUUUUAAAUUAACACUCUCGAGUAAAUCACUAUGUACUUUGACAAAGGGGCACUGCAUCUUCAUGACAUUCUCAGUAGAGGCUCUAGGAGGCUAAGGGUAUUUUCUCUCUCUGUAUAUUUUAAGUCUCUUCUCUCACAACUGAGGCUUCUUAUUCUCAGUCCUAAAUUAUUUUAAAACUAUUUAAAUAAUAUUAUUUAUUAGGCAUUUAGAUAAAAUACUUUAAAAAAAGAAAAUGAUUGCUCUAGAAAACACAACAGGGGCACAAUGAUAUGGAUACUACGACGAGCCGACACCUCCCGCUCCACUGCUAGGACAGCCCAAACCUUCUCCAACGUCCAUUUAGGGGAUAUGUAUACUCCUGUUGUGUUUGUAUCAAACAAAAACAAACCUCAAAAAAGAAACUGUUAAAAUUAAUCUCAUAAAUAGGAAAUAUUAGAUUGUUUUCCUAAUUACAAACCACCUUUAUAUACUUCACCUUAUGAUGCUGUAGAGAGAGCAAGCUUGGAAAAUAACACACACAAGCGCUGGUAAGGGCUGAGGAUGCUGGUGGGUGAAAGCCUGUUCUUUACAAAGCCAAAUGAAGACUGGAAUGACUUUACAGUGCCUUGCCACCCAGAGACCACGAGGCUCUGGGCAUGGAAAUGAAGACAGCGUGUGUCACUAAUGGCACAAGAGGACAUGGUCACAGUUAGCAAUGGCUGAAGUCCACAAGUGUUUCCUGAAUGCUGACAGACCUAUGAGUAUGCUGGGUGAGACUGAGCCUUAUGAGCAUACUGUGGGUGAUGGUGGACUUUCUAACCCGAGACCCCACCGUGCUGCUGGAGCCAACCCAGAGGGAUAUGUAUUUUUUUCUUCCCCAGGAACCUGAAUUCUCCUAAACUAGAGCUUGUGCUCGCCUGCAUUUGGCAGCCGGGACACGAACCUCCAAACGCAGAGCGAGAAUUGCUAUUGCACAAAGACUUCACACAGUGUUUGAAGUGCUCAUCAGCGAUGGGGCAACUCAUGUCGGGCCACUGAAAUGCUCCUCGAUCGGUGCUUGCUUCCCCCCCUCCCCCCAAAAUGAAAAGCGGCUGUGAACGCUGCAAUCGAGAUCACUGUGCUUUAGAUUAUUCUCCACAAAGAGAUUCGGAAUUAAGGCACAUAGCUUUCCAAGUAGAGAAAGUUUGUUAAAUAGGAAAUUUAGGUAAGUUUCAGAACCUAAAAAAACUGAAUGGGAAAUGCGGUAACAUACAGGAUUUUGGUGAUAUGCGUGUUGAAUGAAAACAGAGCCAUUUCAAGCUAAACUAAAAUCUUUCCCCCACAGGAAAAAAAGAAUUGAUCCAUGAUCUCCAUCUCUCUAGAGGAGGCGAGAAGGAAAUGGAAGCCCUGAUCAAGGAAAAAGACAAGUACGAUACAAAUGUGGCCUUGCUUACUCCCCACACACCUCCACUACAAACUAGAUGCUCAAGUACUCCUCACGUAGCCUGUACCAGCAUCCAGAGGUAACUAGGUACUUUGGAAACACUUUUAAAGCUAGUAAUAAUUUACCCACAUAUAAAUAAUAUGUCAAAAUAACACUAAGGGUCUAAUGUAAGCUAACAAAAGCCAGAGAAGUCU
ensembl:lncRNA